ensembl:snoRNA SNORD116 Small nucleolar RNA SNORD116
GGAUCGAUGAUGACUCCCACAUUCUGCAUUCCUUGGAAAAGCUGAACAAAAUGAGUGAGAACUCCCUACCGUCGUUCUCAUCGAAACUGAGGUCC